UUGAAAAGAACUUUGAAGAGAGAGUUCAAGAGUACGUGAAACCGUUCAGGGGUAAACCUGAGAAACCCAAAAGAUCGAAUAGGGAGAUUCAUCGUCAGCGGCGCUGGCUUCGCAGUGGCUCGUGAUGUCGGGGACCUUGGUCUCGCGACACGCGGUCGCUGCGCUUACGUCUGGCGUCGUCGUCGUGCACUUCUCCCUUAGUAGGACGUCGCGACCCGUCGGGUGUCGGUCUACGGCCCAGGUGGAUGCCUAUUCCGUCGCUUCGGCGCGCGGAGUAGACCCCUGGUCGCCCGGCCGGCUGCUCGGCGGUACUCGCACGGUAUCGGGCCGCACGAUUCGAACUGCGUCGGGCCCGCCGCAAGCGCGGCCAGUGUUCCCGGGAUUCUACGGACUCUAGCGCCGUUCUCGGGCCUGGCCAGCUGUUGGCUGGCGGUGUCCUCUGACUG
rnacentral:rRNA from 1 species